AGAGUUUGAUCAUGGCUCAGGAUGAACGCUGGCGGCAUGCCUAAUACAUGCAAGUCGAACGGAAUCUUAUAUGUUUCCUCGUUUCGGAUUUAGUUCCGAGUUGGGGAACAAUAAGAUUUAGUGGCGGACGGGUGAGUAACACGUUGGUACCUACCCUCUAGUGGGGAAUAACUUCGAGAAAUCGAGGCUAAUACCGCAUAAUAUCUACGGAUUAAAGCAUUUAUGCGCUAGAGGAGGGGCCUGCGUCUGAUUAGCUUGUUGGUGAGGUAAAAAGCUCACCAAGGCGACGAUCAGUAGCUGGAUCGAGAGGUUGACCAGCCACACUGGGACUGAGAUACGGCCCAGACUCCUACGGGAGGCAGCAGUAAGGAAUCUUCCACAAUGGGCGAAAGCCUGAUGGAGCAAUGCCGCGUGCAGGAUGACGGCCUUCGGGUUGUAAACUGCUUUUAUAUGGGAAGAUUAUGACGGUACCAUAUGAAUAAGGACCGGCUAACUACGUG
rnacentral:rRNA from 1 species